UUUGUAAACUUGAACUCUAAUUGGUGUUGGUUUGAGGUUUUGUUUUUGUCUUGUUUUUUAGGGUGAAAUCAGAAAUUUUUAUUAAUGGUGCCUUAAACUUUAAGAUUUGGUGAAUGAAUCAGAUUAGUACCUGAUUAAACAAAAGUUAAAAGAGCAGGAGUAAAGUUAUGUUUAAACUGUAAGAGUAUUGGCAGGUUUUUAAAUUAUCUUUGGAGGUUGAGUAGUAAUUGAGAGCCCUCAUUAACAACUUUUGCUAUAGGCGCAUGUAUGAUCGUUUAUUUUAUUCUUAAGGAUUGCAAUUUUAGAUGGGUCUCUAUUAAAAUAGAUAGAUAUUUGGUGUAUGUAGAAGAUUUAAUUUGACCUACAAUAUAUUAUUUUGUGGAUACCCCUUUAGUGGGGGGUUGAAAGUGUAAAAGACAGUAAGUUUUUUUUUAUGUAAGACUGAAGUUUAUUUAAAAACGGUACAAAUCAUCCAUCAAUUGCCUUCA
rnacentral:rRNA from 1 species